GAUGAAGAACGUAGCGAAAUGCGAUACGUAAUGUGAAUUGCAAAUUCAGUGAAUCAUCGAGUCUUUGAACGCACAUUGCGCCCCCUGGUAUUCCGGGGGGCAUGCCUGUCCGAGCGUCAUUGCUGCCCUCAAGCACGGCUUGUGUGUUGGGCCCCGUCCUCCGAUCCCGGGGGACGGGCCCGAAAGGCAGCGGCGGCACCGCGUCCGGUCCUCGAGCGUAUGGGGCUUUGUCACCCGCUCUGUAGGCCCGGCCGGCGCUUGCCGAUCAACCCAAAUUUUUAUCCAGGUUGACUUCGGAUCAGGUAGGGAUACCCGCUGAACUUAAGCAUAUCAAUAAGCGGAGGA
rnacentral:misc_RNA from 1 species